GUCCAGACUCCUACGGGAGGCAGCAGUAGGGGAUAUUGCACAAUGGGGGGAACCCUGAUGCAGCGACGCCGCGUGGGUGAAGAAGCGCCUCGGCGCGUAAAGCCCUGUCAGCAGGGAAGAAAAUGACGGUACCUGAAGAAGAAGCCCCGGCCAACUACGUGCCAGCAGCCGCGGUAAUACGUAGGGGGCAAGCGUUAUCCGGAUUUACUGGGUGUAAAGGGGGCGCAGACGGCGAUGCAAGCCAGGAGUGAAAGCCCGGGGCCCAACCCCGGGACUGCUCUUGGAACUGCGUGGCUGGAGUGCAGGAGGGGCAGGCGGAAUUCCUGGUGUAGCGGUGAAAUGCGUAGAUAUCAGGAGGAACACCGGUGGCGAAGGCGGCCUGCUGGACUGCAACUGACGUUGAGGCCCGAAAGCGUGGGGAGCAAGCAGGAUUAGAUACCCGAGUA
rnacentral:rRNA from 1 species